rnacentral:rRNA from 1 species
UACAGAGGUCUCAAGCGUUGUUCGGAUUCAUUGGGCGUAAAGGGUGUGUAGGUGGCGCCGUAAGUCGGGUGUGAAAUUUCGGAGCUUAACUCCGAAACUGCAUUCGAUACUGCGGUGCUUGAGGACUGGAGAGGAGACUGGAAUUCGAUGGUGUAGCAGUGAAAUGCGUAGAGAUCAUGAGGAAGACCAGUGGCGAAGGCGGGUCUCUGGGCCGUAACUGACGCUGAGGAGCGAAAGCGUGGGGAGCGAACAGG